rnacentral:misc_RNA from 1 species
GUAGGUGAACCUGCGGAAGGAUCAUUAAAGAGAACUUGCCCUUCGGGGUAGAUCUCCCACCCUUUGUUUAUAUUACCUUUGUUGCUUUGGCAGGCCCGUCUUCGGACCACCGGCGUCAGCUGGUCCGUGCCUGCCAGAGGACCCCAACUCUUAUUUUAAUGUCGUCUGAGUACUAUAUAAUGGUUAAAACUUUCAACAACGGAUCUCUUGGUUCUGGCAUCGAUGAUGAACGCAGCAUCUGACUGACUGG